CAUUUUAUGAUAAUGAUUUUCAUUUUCAAAAUAUUUUUAAAAAGAUAUAAAGAAAAAAACUCACAUGCAUAUAAAAAAUAACUUGAAUUAAAGGGUAAUGAAAUUUUCAACUUGUAUUUAGCGUAAACGUUGCUAUUCAUUCAACGAUUGGUGAGUUGCUGGUGGUAAGAUCCUCUGUGCGCAUUAAUAACAAUAGCCAUAUAAGGCAAACAAAGGCUUGUCUGUCAGUGUAGAUGAUAAUGCUCAUUUUUUACCAGCGAGUCGGUCACUAGUGAGCUCUAAUUUUUUGCCGAAAAGUAUCCGAUAUAUUAUUAUUUUAGCACCCCCUCCUUUAGUCAUCCUUUUUCUGUUGAAAAUCAUGAAAGUCUUUCAGAAAGGUCUGUAAACAUUUAUUAAAGGAAAUGUUUUCAAAAGAAACAGGCUAUAGCAAUAUCAUGUUUACUGCCAAUUUUAUUUAUAAAUCCGAAUCUACCCUAUAAAAUGUAUAAACUUUGAAUGAAUCAACCUUAACCACGUGUCUUGAAUUUAAAUCACAAUAACAUUAGUAGAGGUGCAACAGAUGUUUCCUACCUCCAUCUCGAAAGAGUUCCGCUACGUUGAGCAAUCGCAAAAUCAAGUGUGAUAAUUUAUUCUUGGCUAGUUUUAGUAAUCAGCGUAAUCUCCCUUUGGUGGAGGACCUUAGGAGCACCAGUCAAUAGGACGAUUAGACCAAUAUCGGAUGAAAGAUACCACAUCAUUUACGAUAUCAUCUCAGGAACAAGGACUUUCAAAGAGAAAAGCAACAAUGGAAGAAAAAAUGCAGCAAGGAUGAUUCGUCGCUGGAGAAAGAAACACCAUUUGUCUGUUGCCAAUUGCCUCAACCCAUUGACCGCGGCUCAAGAAAAAGCCACCAUGAGAGCUGCCAUAUUCGGUUCAUCCUACGUGAAGGUAGCUUCAAGCUUUACAGACUUUGUCCUGCCAUUUGAAGUCGGGUGGUUUUGAGUUGGUGGGAUGACAGCUUCUCAACCUUGUCCAACUGGGUACCGAUAAAGUGCGAAACGAAAUAGAAACGAAGCGAAACAUUGUUUUUUAAAUCAAGGUAUACCUGUAUACAUCAAGUUAUAAGAUGUGAUGUGUAACUGUAUAUGGUCUAUUUUUACUUCAUAUGAAAUUCAUAUAGUAAGCUUGUUUACACAGGCAAUUGUUUCGUAUAAGGGGUAUCCUACUUGUUUUUAACACUACAAUGAAGCGCAUUGAAGUGGUAAAAUUUUCCGUUUGGAUGAAACGUUUUGAGCUAUCUUUAGACACGCCCAUUUCUUUAGAAAGGCAAUAUCGGUCAAAUGAAUUCAAUCGAAUACCUGUAGAACAGGUAUUCCAUAAAUAUAAUAGCCAAUCAAAUUGACGGUCUACAUAAACACCGAGUAAGCACGUGUUCGACUGAUACAUGUGUUAUGCUAACUCCAAUAAACAUGAUAAAAUCAUAAUUAUGUACAAAUUCGUUUCAAUGCGUGUUUUACAGAAGCGGGGACUCUAUAUAUAGCUCUUUCUUAUUUAAAAAUCUUCAUUUAAGUGUAACCCAUGUUGCUUGUUGCGGAAAGUGGGGUGUCCUAAAACAUUACGACGAAUAUUUCUUUCUCUUCUCUAAAGAAAUGGGCGUGUCGUUAUGUUAUAAUUGACGUUCAAAACAUGACUCAGAAUGUUUCAUCA